GGGGGAGGAGCCCAACUGGGGACGGAGCAGAGGGGAAGGAGCACACCCCAAUGGCAGGGUGGGCUACUGAGCCCGGGAGAGGCUCCUGCUAGCUGAUGUGUGAGCCCCACCCAGUUCAGCAAGGACCACAAAAAUGCCCCACUUUGCGUUUAUAUAACCGAGGGAGACCUUCACUGCAGAGCAAAGGCGAUGUACCCAGAGGAGCCUGGCGCGCCGCAAAACAGCCUGCAACUUCAGAGAGAACAAACACAACUCGUCCCCACAGGGUACCUCUCUGGCUGGUGAGCGGCCGGCGUUCAGAGGAGAGAUGCCAAGACUUUGGAAGCUGGACCAGGAUGUGGGACAGGAGAUGGACCCAGGAUGCUUCCCAAUUAAGGGUCCACAGGGGACAACCAACGCCUUCGAGCAUGUGUAGCCUGUGAAAUGUCAGGGGCAGUGUGGUCACAGGGAGAUUAGGGAGGCAUCAGCUGGAUAAAGGUACUUACACACACAUA